AAUGAUCUUAUUGGAACAGGUGAAGUACCCAACAGGGAUGACUCAGUUCUUAUAAAACUCAAAGAACUUGAAGACAAGCUACAUGUCAUGAUAUCGGACUACCAAGUACUAUUGGAGAUGUUGAUAUCUUUUUUCAAUAACCUUUCUGAGCUGGAGAAUAAAUGUACAAAACCCACUGGAGUCCUUGGUGAAACUGUAUCUAUGAAUUCAGUGGAGCAGAUGAUAAAGGAUCAUGAUGCCAACCGACAAGCA